AAAAAUAUUGAAAAACUUGUAAUAAAUUAGUAUUUUAAAAUGUAAAGUGAGAAUGCAGAAAUUAAAUUAAAAAUUGAAAGUUAAUUCACAAUCCCCAAUUUUUAAACCCUAAAAAAAUUUCGAAUUCUGAAAUCCUUAGAGAAGGAAUUGGAGAAAUUAGAGAAUAAAUUGGCUUACCUUUGCUUAGACUGGGUUUGAACUUUGAAGAAGAGAAAGUUACUGAACAGGAGAGAGAAGAUGCAAACAAAUUGAAGCGUGAGGAAUUGAUUUGUGGGCGCAAGGGAGAGAAUAACCAAGGCAACAUUGAGCUGGGCCCAAUAAAAAUAAUUAAUUUGGAUUUUUGGAAUUUUAAAAUUGUUUAUAUUAUUAUAUUUUCUCGAACUGAGUUUCUCAAGGUUAAAAUAUUUAUCCUCUCAUGAAUGUUUUUUUGCUUACAAGGCUAAAACAAAGUAGAAAAAAACAAAAUAGAAAAAAGGAAAGAGGCUAGCGCCUCAUAAAGAGGACUCCUAAUUCAUCUGUCCUAAGCGGAGGCAGCAGGUCCUCUGGAGGAGAAGAGUGGAGAGUCAAUUCAACAUCGCUCGAUGCUCCAAGUUUAGCCAUAAAGUCUGCAUACUGAUUUCCCUCUCUGAGUGAGUGAUGAAGGUUGAAAUUACGAGAAACCAUGAUGUCUUUGAUAUUUUGAAUGAGAAUAGCAUGAACAUGAAAAUGAUUUAAAUCAUCUUUGAUGAGGUUCAUUGCAAGAAGGGAGUCUGAAUAGCACGCCAAUUCCUCACAAUUUAAGUUAACCGCCAACCUUAACCCUUGAUAAAGAGCUGUGAGCUCUACAAACAGAAUGUCCUAAGAAUGACUGAUGUAGCCCGAAUAACCUGCUAUGUAUGUUUCUGUGUUGUCGCGAAAGACACCUCCAAAACCUGCGCGAAUGGGAACACCGAGACAGCUGCCAUCAACAUUCAAAAUAGUGCACCGACAGUUGUUAUUGUUCCAACAGAUCAGCCUAGGUGAAGGGGCAGCGCCUUCAGCUUUACAAAAAGCAUUAGUGAUGGAAUCUGCCAAAUUGAAGAUGUUAUUACUGAGCUGGAAUUCUGACAUGGUUGUAUUGCCUAGACACAUGUUGUUACGGUGAAAGUAGGCUUUUGGAUUGGAAGGGAAAAAAAACUAACGGUGAGGAAAGAAAGUUAGAGAGAAGGCAGAGAUAUUUUUAGAGAGAGAAAGUUUUAAGUUUAGUAAAUUAUUUUUGUCAGUUUACUGCACAUUCUAUUUACGUAGUCAUUUUUCUUUACAGAUAAGAAUUUUCCAUUUACAUUUUACACAUGAAGAAUGUGCUUAAAAUUGAAUACAUGAUUUUUAGACUAUUUAUAACAAAUCUACUUGGUAUGCUUGGCUCUACCAAACCAAAAAAGUUUUCUGAUUUAUUAUAGGUUUUACAGAAGAUAUUAAAACCAUCACUUCGGUUUUUCAGGGUCUUGAUUUUGCUGUUGAUGGUGGGGUAAGAGUGGCUCAGUCGUCCACUGUGGUUGACAUGACCAAAUUGCCUCCUAGAGUCCUACGGGAAGGAAAGAGUCGUAUAAUUUCAGGGUCCAAUUUCAGACUGGAUGAUAUUGGAAGAUAAUCAGCAAACUGACGGUGAAGAGGAUCUAAUCCCUGCUGCCAUUUGAAUGUUAAUCACCUUUUUGAAUGAAGAUUCAGCAUCCAAGACCAGUUACUGACAUUAUAGGACACAAGUUGGAAAACUUUAUGUAAAUAAAAACAUACUGUUGUAAAUGUUGAUAUAGUUGACUUGUACACUUUUGUUGUUGACCAGAUACCCUAUAGUUCAUAGGGAUAUCUGAAUUCUUUUUGCAAUUAAAUAAAAUUUGCUGUUUCAUUUUUAUUUUGUCAAAA